GCCUGGGUGGCUCAGUCGGUUAAGCAUCUGACUUUGGCUCAGGUCAUGAUCUCACAGUUCGUGGGUUCGAGCCCCGCGUCAGGCU
rnacentral:tRNA from 1 species